CAACAAGCCAAGUGAUUAAAGAUCAGAUAUCUGCGCUGCAUAUAGAAUAUGAACUGCCAUCGUGCAGAAUACUAUUCUUCCCAGGAAUUGUUGGGCACCGAUGGGUGACAUACGCAUGGUGUCUUGAUAGAAACAUAAUAUCUGUAUUUGACCCUUUUUUCAAUGAAAAUUGCAUUGAGGAACACAAGGAUGUACACAUAUACGUCAUUGGACUGAUUAAAAAUGCCAUGAAAUUGACAGCAAGUCAUUUGAUAACUGGCUGGAAUUACAACUGGGAAGCAGCAAGAAUAGAAAUAAUAGGCACCCAAUUUGCCGGAAGCACCUGGAAUAGGAGCACAGGUUGCGCUGCUGCCCAAUUCUGCUUUCACUAUAAUGGAACGCUUUCUUCACUUUCAAGAGUAAAUGUAGCAGAUGCAUCAAAGGUUGCAGAAAUGCUCACUGACGCACUAGGCUUAAAAGAAAACCAGGGGUUCGUGCCCACAACAUAAAGAUGCCAACCAUACCUCCCACCGCUGAAGAAGGUAUUGCCCGACAUGCAGUCUCUCCUGACAGCAAAAUUAAAUCAGUAUCGUUAAGUAUUUUUUGUGAAAAACGAGCUGUAUAAACUCAUAAUAUUAUUUUUGAAGAACUACAUGUAUGUUUUGCCUGUUACGCAGACCCUUACCAGUCCCUUCCUUUGA